AAUGUCGUGACAUAUAUACCAAGGCAUACAUAUGUGUAGGAAUGCCGACAGAAGCGUCACUUGGAUUUCCGGAAGCCGGAAGUUUGCCUGAAUUUUUGCGAUGAGUUCCUGAAAUUUUUACAUCGCACGGUGAGAAAUGAUUCUGAUAAGACGAUUUAUCAGUUUGAGUGAGAGUCGUUUCGUGAUUUCGUCGUGAGUCAGCUUCCACCAACGUCGGAAUAUCCAUUUAUUCCAGAAUACAAGUCAUUAGGAAAAAUUAAUUAAUCAAUAAUAUCAACGGAUCGAUUCAAAAACUAAGAGAUCGAUCUUCUGUUUUUUAUUCUUCUACUACUGUAUCGAAUCUAUAUUUUAACAAAAUAAAUAAAUAUUAUUGAUUGAAA